rnacentral:rRNA from 1 species
CUUUCUUUGCUGGCGACCGGCGCACGGGUGAGUAACACGUAUCCAACCUGCCCUUUACUCGGGGAUAGCCUUUCGAAAGAAAGAUUAAUACCCGAUAGCAUAAUGAUUCCGCAUGGUUUCAUUAUUAAAGGAUUCCGGUAAAGGAUGGGGAUGCGUUCCAUUAGGUUGUUGGUGAGGUAACGGCCCACCAAGCCUUCGAUGGAUAGGGGUUCUGAGAGGAAGGUCCCCCACAUUGGGACUGAGACACGGUCCAA